UACAGAGGGUGCAAGCGUUGUUCGGAUUUACUGGGCGUAAAGGGCGCGUAGGCGGCUUGACAAGUCACUUGUGAAAUCUCCGGGCUUAACUCGGAAAGGUCAGCCGAUACUGCGGGGCUAGAGUGCAGAAGGGGCAACUGGAAUUCUCGGUGUAGCGGUGAAAUGCGUAGAUAUCGAGAGGAACACCUGCGGCGAAGGCGGGUUGCUGGGCUGACACUGACGCUGAGGCGCGAAAGCUAGGGGAGCGAACGGG
rnacentral:rRNA from 1 species